rnacentral:rRNA from 1 species
CCUACGGGGGGCAGCAGUGAGGAAUAUUGGUCAAUGGCCGGAAGGCUGAACCAGCCAUGCCGCGUGAAGGUCAGUGCCCUAUGGGCGUUAAACUUCUUUUGUGCGGGAGCAAUAAUGGUCACGUGUGGCCAGACGAGAGUACCGUACGAAUAAGCAUCGGCUAACUCCGUGCCAGCAGCCGCGGUAAUACGGGGGAUGCAAGCGUUAUCCGGAUUUAUUGGGGUUAAAGGGUGCGUAGGCUGUGAGGUAAGUCAGCGGUGAAAUGCCCCCGCUCAACGGGGUGAAGUGCCAUUGAUACUGGCUUGCUGGAAUGGGAAUGCCGUGGGAGGAAUGUGUGGUGUAGCGGUGAAAUGCAUAGAUAUCGCACAGAACACCGAUUGCGAAGGCAUCUCACGGAUCCGCGAUUGACGCUGAUGCACGAAAGCGUGGGUAUCAAACAGGAUUAGAUACCCUGGUAGUC